AGCCCUUGACAUCCCGGUCGCGGUUUCCAGAGAUGGAUUCCUUCAGUUCGGCUGGACCGGUGACAGGUGCUGCAUGGCUGUCGUCAGCUCGUGUCGUGAGAUGUUGGGUUAAGUCCCGCAACGAGCGCAACCCUCAUCUUCAGUUGCCAUCAGUUCGGCUGGGCACUCUGAAGAAACUGCCGGUGACAAGCCGGAGGAAGGCGGGGAUGACGUCAAGUCCUCAUGGCCCUUAUGGGCUGGGCUACACACGUGCUACAAUGGCGGCGACAGUGGGAAGCAAGACCGCGAGGUGGAGCUAAUCCCCAAAAGCCGUCUCAGUUCGGAUUGUUCUCUGCAACUCGAGAGCAUGAAGU
rnacentral:rRNA from 1 species